rnacentral:lncRNA from 1 species
UUGUAAACACUCUCCCCCUGAAAGUCUAGGCUUUUGUUUCUUCAUAUUUUCUUUCAAUAAAAUCCCCUUUUCCAUUUUUAUAUUUAUUUUCUUUUCCACCAUUAUCAUGAGCCACUAAAACCUAUCUAGCCGAAAGUUGUCAAUAUUUCCCAAAAAAGGUUCUUGAGGCUUAGAAUCCGUACUUAGCCUUCUUGCCAAGUAUUCAUCGUUUCUCCGCACUACGGGCUGACGCUUCCAUCCAUGGCCCUUAAGAAGUAAGCUUUUCAGCAUAUGCAAAGGCGGCUGCUUUGUAUGUUUUGGAAGGAUUACAUAGUCGGUUCGUUAACUUACUGCUUCAGAGGUUGGCAAGCCAAAGAGACAAAAUGGCGUGGGAUUCGCUAUUGAGAAGUGUUGAUCUAGCAUAGAUUACUGGCUAGAGUCAAGUUCCCUAAAAAUCGUAAGUCUAAUCUUUAGAGCUAGUGGUCGUAGGCGUCCUCUUCCACUAUAACUGGCUUACUUGAGUUGAGAAGGGUUAUUUAAAAGCCGAAGAUUGAACCCAAGGCGGAAUGAGACAACUGGAGGCUGGAGUCUACCAAUAAGAAUUUCUUUUCCUUUAACUCUCUUUAUUAUUUUUAUAUAUUCUCCAUCUCAAUUUCCGUCAUUUAUUUAAUUUCGCAAUUUCAAUUUAAUUUAAAUACUAUUUUUAUUUUUCCAAAUCGAAAUUCUUAAUUCUAUUUUUUUAUUUUUUCAGGAACGCAAGUUUCUUGGCCAAGAAAUUGUCCAAGAUUUCAAGAAACGAGCAUUCGUACAAUCCGGUCCCUGAAUAUUCGACCCUACUUCCCCUUUACUCUUAUUUUUAUUAUUUUAUAAGAAAUAGAAUAUUUUUGGUACUCUCAACGACCGCAUCAUAUCAUUAUUAAGAGAGGAAGAUAACAGACUGUACUAUUUAAGUGCCAUAUACCAAUUUUAACCCGUGUUUCAAACAAGUUUUGG